rnacentral:rRNA from 1 species
GAUGAACGCUAGCGGCAGGCUUAAUACAUGCAAGUCGAGGGGCAGCAGCUCUGUAGCAAUACAGAGGCUGGCGACCGGCAAACGGGUGCGGAACACGUACACAACCUUCCUUUAAGCGGGGAAUAGCCCGGGGAAACCCGGAUUAAUACCCCAUAGUAUAUUGAAGAGGCAUCUGUUUACUAUUAAAGCUAUGGCACCUGAAGAAGGGCGUGCGGCUGAUUAGGUAGUUGGCGGGGUAACGGCCCACCAAGCCUACGAUCAGUAGCUGAUGUGAGAGCAUGAUCAGCCACACGGGCACUGAGACACGGGCCCGACUCCUACGGGAGGCAGCAGUAAGGAAUAUUGGUCAAUGGACGCAAGUCUGAACCAGCCAUGCCGCGUGGAGGAUGAAGGUCCUCUGGAUUGUAAACUUCUUUUAUCUGGGACGAAAAAAGGGUUUUCUAACUCGUCUGACGGUACCAGAUGAAUAAGCACCGGCUAACUCCGUGCCAGCAGCCGCCGUAACAC